AGCGGCGGACGGGUGAGUAACGCGUGGGAAUAUGCCCUUCUCUAAGGAAUAGCCUCGGGAAACUGAGAGUAAUACCUUAUACGCCCUUCGGGGGAAAGAUUUAUCGGAGAAGGAUUAGCCCGCGUUAGAUUAGGUAGUUGGUGGGGUAAUGGCCUACCAAGCCUACGAUCUAUAGCUGGUUUGAGAGGAUGAUCAGCCACACUGGGACUGAGACACGGCCCAGACUCCUACGGGAGGCAGCAGUAGGGAAUCUUAGACAAUGGGGGAAACCCUGAUCUAGCCAUGCCGCGUGUGUGAUGAAGGCCUUAGGGUCGUAAAGCACUUUCGCCAGAGAUGAUAAUGACAGUAUCUGGUAAAGAAACCCCGGCUAACUCCGUGCCAGCAGCCGCGGUAAUACGGAGGGGGUUAGCGUUGUUCGGAAUUACUGGGCGUAAAGCGUACGUAGGCGGAUUAGUAAGUUAGAGGUGAAAUCCCAGGGCUCAACCCUGGAACUGCCUUUAAUACUGCUAGUCUUGAGUUCGAGAGAGGUAAGUGGAAUUCCGAGUGUAGAGGUGAAAUUCGUAGAUAUUCGGAGGAACACCAGUGGCGAAGGCGGCUUACUGGCUCGAUACUGACGCUGAGGUACGAAAGUGUGGGGAGCAAACAGGAUAAGAUACCCUGGUAGUCCACACCGU
rnacentral:rRNA from 1 species